rnacentral:rRNA from 1 species
UACGUAGGGUGCAAGCGUUGUCCGGAAUUAUUGGGCGUAAAGAGCUCGUAGGCGGUCUGUCGCGUCGGAUGUGAAAACCCGGGGCUUAACCCCGGGCCUGCAUUCGAUACGGGCAGACUCGAGUGUGGUAGGGGAGACUGGAACUCCUGGUGUAGCGGUGAAAUGCGCAGAUAUCAGGAAGAACACCCGUGGCUAAGGCGGUUCUCUAGUACGGUACUGACGCUGAGACGCGAAAGCGUGGGGAGCGAACAGG